rnacentral:rRNA from 1 species
AGUCUACUGAAAGGGACGCACCUGAUCUCCUAUGAUCCCAGAAGCUAAGCAGGAUCAGGCCUGGUUAGUACUUGGAUGGGAGUCUGCAGCUCUGUAAAUUCUGGAUAUUC